AAGUCGUAACAAGGUUUCCGUAGGUGAACCUGCGGAAGGAUCAUUACCAAAUCCAAAUUCAACCACUUGUGAACUUGUCUUGUAUUGUCUUUUGGGAGGUUCAGGGAGUUUAAACAACUGCCUGGUUCCUGAACAUGCAUUUAUUUGUAUGUUUGGGGCCUCCCAUUAGGCGCGUGUGUGUUGCUGCUGCAAAGCAAACAACACCACAAAAACAUAAACCACAAUUCAAAUUUUUUCAUUUGGUUUUUUUACAAAAAAACAAAAUGACAACUUUUAACGGUGGAUCUCUUGGCUCAU
rnacentral:misc_RNA from 1 species